AACGCGAAGAACCUUACCUGGUCUUGACAUCCACGGAAGUUUUUAGAGAUGAGAAUGUGCCUUCGGGAACCGUGAGACAGGUGCUGCAUGGCUGUCGUCAGCUCGUGUUGUGAAAUGUUGGGUUAAGUCCCGCAACGAGCGCAACCCUUAUCCUUUGUUGCCAGCGGUCCGGCCGGGAACUCAAAGGAGACUGCCAGUGAUAAACUGGAGGAAGGUGGGGAUGACGUCAAGUCAUCAUGGCCCUUACGACCAGGGCUACACACGUGCUACAAUGGCGCAUACAAAGAGAAGCGACCUCGCGAGAGCAAGCGGACCUCAUAAAGUGCGUCGUAGUCCGGAUUGGAGUCUGCAACUCGACUCCAUGAAGUCGGAAUCGCUAGUAAUCGUGGAUCAGAAUGCCACGGUGAAUACGUUCCCGGGUCUUGUACACACCG
rnacentral:rRNA from 1 species